GGGCAAAUUCACACAUGUUGGGUUGCAUGGUGCAAGCUUUUGUAAAAGACAUUUCAAGAUAAAGGAGGAGUUCAAGAGAAUAACCACUGUAAGCCUUGAAUGGCUACACUUGACAAUUGCACCCCAAAACUGAUGGAUGUCAUUUUAUCAAGGGGAGGAGCUAAGGGAGUGAGAAUCAGGCAGAUCAAGGACAUGCUUCUUGAGCACAAGACAAUUGAAACAAGCAGAGAAGUAGCCAUCUGCUGCCUUAUCACUUUCCUUGGAGAGAAGGACGAGGACCUUUUCAUGGAGUUUGGUGUAAGUAAUUCAGCAUUGUGUGUGUGUGUGUGUGUGUGUGUGUGUGUGUGUGUGUGUGUGUGUGUGUGUGUGUGUUCGUUCCAUUGAUCAUCUGAAUUCAUUAAGAUUCUAUAAUUCACUAACCUAUUUUUUAAAAUUUGCUUUACAAGGACACCGAAGAACUUAAGGCAGG
ensembl:lncRNA